CAGUCGUACCUGUGGGUAAUCAGCCUUUUGGGCAUGAUUCUGUGGAGCGUGAGGAGUUAAACGCCUUCAUGCCUGCAUAUUCGUGUACUUUGGGUGUACUUGCCUGUGUGGUUAGUUAACAUCAAUUUUGGUUAUCAUAAAAUGGUUGGAGGAAUGUACCUUCCAUUUCUAUUGAAGUGUUAUAGCCUUCGGCAGAUGUGAUGAUCGGGAUUGAGGAUUGCAACGGAUACCCUUCGGGGCUACCUGUCUGGUCUCUGAUCGUUGCUUUGGUGCCGAAAGCGUGCUUACGGUUAUCAAAGUCGAUGGUCAAUAUGUUAGAACGGGUUAAA
rnacentral:rRNA from 1 species